GACGAACGCUGGCGGCGUGCCUAAUACAUGCAAGUGGGACGCAAGGGAACACACUGUGCUUGCACACCGUGUUUUCUUGAGUCGCGAACGGGUGAGUAACGCGUAGGUAACCUGCCUAUUAGCGGGGGAUAACUAUUGGAAACGAUAGCUAAUACCGCAUAAUAUUAAUUAUUGCAUGAUAAUUGAUUGAAAGAUGCAAGCGCAUCACUAGUAGAUGGACCUGCGUUGUAUUAGCUAGUUGGUAAGGUAAGAGCUUACCAAGGCGACGAUACAUAGCCGACCUGAGAGGGUGAUCGGCCACACUGGGACUGAGACACGGCCCAGACUCCUACGGGAGGCAGCAGUAGGGAAUCUUCGGCAAUGGACGAAAGUCUGACCGAGCAACGCCGCGUGAGUGAAGAAGGUUUUCGGAUCGUAAAACUCUGUUGUAAGUCAAGAACGUGUGUGAGAGUGGAAAGUUCACACAGAGACGGUAGCUACCA
rnacentral:rRNA from 1 species